rnacentral:tRNA from 1 species
UGCGCGCCUCUUGUCGAAUGAUAAAUAAUUUCUUCUCUCCAAAACUAAAGAAUGAAAAGUGCUGUAGUACGCAU